rnacentral:lncRNA from 1 species
UGUAAAUAGGUUGUGAUAAGUACUAAAUGCACGCUGCUAAUGGCAUCAUCACCUCUGGCUCUUCUCAAUCCUGCGUUUCCCAUGUUGUGUCAUGCAACAGAGCUGUCACACUGCCUCUUCCUCUUCAUCUCUGGUGCCACCUGUGAUUUACUUGCACACUACCUUGUUUCUGAACUAUUGCAGCCCCUCCCAACUUAUCUCACUGCCUCAUUCACCUGCCUUUCAAAACUGGCCCACCUCCUGCUGCCCAAUAACCUGAUGUUGUCACUCUCAUAUUUAAAACCCAUAAGUGCUGCCGACUUCAGAUUCUCCCCUGAAGUUUCUCAGGCCUUUUGGCAUCAGACUGGAAGUUAUGCCAUUGGCUCCCCUGGUUCUCAGACCUUUGGACUCAGACUGAAUUAUACCACUGGCUUUCCUGGUUCUCCAGCUUCAAGAUGACAUAUUGUGAGACUUUUCAACCUCCAUAAUUGCAUGAGCCAAUUUCCACAAUAUAUCUCCUCUUAUGUAUCUAUAUAUUUCCUUAAAUGAACUGAUGGAGCUGAAAACCAUGGCA